rnacentral:rRNA from 1 species
UGCGAAUGGCUCAUUAAAUCAGUUAUCGUUUAUUUGAUAGUACCUUACUACUUGGAUAACCGUGGUAAUUCUAGAGCUAAUACAUGCUGAAAACCCCAACUUCGGGAGGGGUGUAUUUAUUAGAUAAAAAACCAACGCCCUUCGGGGCUUCUUGGUGAUUCAUGAUAACUUCACGGAUCGCAUGGCCUUGCGCCGGCGACGGUUCAUUCAAAUUUCUGCCCUAUCAACUUUCGAUGGUAAGGUAUUGGCUUACCAUGGUUUCAACGGGUAACGGGGAAUUAGGGUUCGAUUCCGGAGAGGGAGCCUGAGAAACGGCUACCACAUCCAAGGAAGGCAGCAGGCGCGCAAAUUACCCAAUCCCGACACGGGGAGGUAGUGACAAUAAAUACUGAUACAGGGCUCUUUUGGGUCUUGUAAUUGGAAUGAGUACAAUUUAAACCUCUUAACGAGGAACAAUUGGAGGGCAAGUCUGGUGCCAGCAGCCGCGGUAAUUCCAGCUCCAAUAGCGUAUAUUAAAGUUGUUGCAGUUAAAAAGCUCGUAGUUGAAACUUGGGCCUGGCUGGCAGGUCCGCCUCACCGCGUGUACUUGUCCGGCCGGGCCUUUCCUUCUGGAGAACCUCAUGCCCUUCACUGGGUGUGUUGGGGAACCAGGACUUUUACUUUGAAAAAAUUAGAGUGUUCAAAGCAGGCCUUUGCUCGAAUACGUUAGCAUGGAAUAAUAGAAUAGGACGUGCGGUCCUAUUUUGUUGGUUUCUAGGACCGCCGUAAUGAUUAAUAGGGACAGUCGGGGGCAUCAGUAUUCAAUUGUCAGAGGUGAAAUUCUUGGAUUUAUUGAAGACUAACUACUGCGAAAGCAUUUGCCAAGGAUGUUUUCAUUAAUCAGUGAACGAAAGUUAGGGGAUCGAAGACGAUCAGAUACCGUCGUAGUCUUAACCGUAAACUAUGCCGACUAGGGAUCGGGCGAUGUUCUUUUUCUGACUCGCUCGGCACCUUACGAGAAAUCAAAG